rnacentral:lncRNA from 1 species
GCAUCACACUGAUAGCAGAGGCUGAGCAGGAAGUGACUCCUCGACCCACAAUGACAGCCAGGCAGGAGCCACCUGGGCAAGGGCUGGACCCAGCUCUGCAUGUUUCCUGGACCUCUUUGUCAUCCCUUUGAUUGAAGAGGCGGCAGUGAGGCCCAACUCAGCCUGGGGCAGCAGGCCUUGUGCAAGGCCUGGAUGCAGCUGGAGAACAAGUGUGUGCUGCUUUUCUUGGUGCGGCGUCACAUACCCACUAGAGGACUUCUGCUUAGCCGUCCGUUCCCAAGGGCUGAUGCUUUGUCAACCUCAUUGUGUGUGCCCUGCAUAUUCUCUUGGAUAUCUGCUGAAUAAAUCCAGGCAGCACAUCCUGAC